rnacentral:rRNA from 1 species
UACGUAGGGGGCAAGCGUUGUCCGGAAUCAUUGGGCGUAAAGCGCGUGUAGGCGGCUCGAUAAGUCUGCUGUGAAAGUCCAAGGCUCAACCUUGGGAUGCCGGUGGAUACUGUCGAGCUCGAGUCCGGAAGAGGAGUGUGGAAUUCCUGGUGUAGCGGUGAAAUGCGCAGAUAUCAGGAGGAACACCAAUAGCGAAGGCAGCUCGCUGGGACGUUACUGACACUAAGGCGCGAAAGCGUGGGGAGCGAACAGG